rnacentral:rRNA from 1 species
UACGGAGGGUGCAAGCGUUAUCCGGAUUCACUGGGUUUAAAGGGUGCGUAGGAGGGCAGGUAAGUCAGUGGUGAAAUCUCCGGGCUUAACCCGGAAACUGCCAUUGAUACUAUAGAUCUUGAAUAUCCUGGAGGUGAGCGGAAUAUGUCAUGUAGCGGUGAAAUGCUUAGAUAUGACAUAGAACACCAAUUGCGAAGGCAGCUCACUACGGGAUCAUUGACACUGAGGCACGAAAGCGUGGGGAUCAAACAGG